AUUUUGCAAUAGGAUCUCAUUAAGUUGCUCAGGGCCUCACUUAAAUUGCCGAGGCUGGCUUUGAACUUAUGAUGCUCCUGCCUCAGCCUCCUGAGCUACUGGGAUUACAGGUGUGAGCCACUGCCCUGGCUUCUUGUGAUCAUCUUGCCUCAGCCUUCCAAGUAUUAUGGGAUUAUGGACAGUGCCACUGUGCCCAGCUUACUUCCUUCUUAAAAGGGAACCCUUAAGAAAUUUUACUUCCGUUUUACCUUAAUCUUUGAUUUUCUUUCACCCUCUAGUCACUUCUUACCCAGCAAAAGGCACCACUGUGUAUCCAGAAGCUGCAGUCCAAAACAUACUUUUUGUCUCUUAAUAGCUUCAUCUUCUUUUGCCUAUAUUCUUUAAUCAUUCCCCAACUAUACUUGGGCCACAUGCACCUUUCUGUUCUUUGUACUUAAUAAGAUUUUUCUGAUUUUAGGGCCUCUACAUCACUGUUACCUCUGCCUGGAAUGUUUUCUUCCCCAGUUGUUUGCACUGUAGACUUUGUUUUAUCAUUCAAGUCAGCCUAAUUUUUAUCUUGGACACUUUGUAUAAUAUAAUCACCCUGUUUAAUUUUCCUCAGAUAAAAAGUAGAUUGACAUCUUAGUUGGCCAGCCUACUGCUCACAUUGGGGUAUGAAUUUCAAAGUAUUUUACUAGGUUAGAUUCACCCUUACAUGUCAGACCCUUGUUCUGAAAGGAAUGGCCAUGAACAAUAUAUUAAAUCCAUUCUCUGGAAUGAUAAUAAAUUAAAAUACUGAGAUCAGAUGGAAGUUACCCACUCCUGAAUGAAGAUACUCAGGACUGCAAUGGCAGAAAUGAAAUUAAUAGCAGAAUAGUAUAAAUGCAAGAUCCU
rnacentral:lncRNA from 1 species